rfam:Myotis brandtii contig241264, whole genome shotgun sequence.
AGCAGUUCUCGGGUGAUGCACCCCAAAAUCAGGCUCCCUCCUCUCUGGUUCUAGGUGUGUCACCCAUGAACUGCA